rnacentral:rRNA from 1 species
AGCUCCAAUAGCGUAUAUUAAAGUUGUUGCAGUUAAAAAGCUCGUAGUUGAACCUUGGGUCUGGGUGACCGGUCCUCCUCACCGAGUGCACUGGGAGCCCGGACCUUUCCUUCUGGCAAACCUCAUGCCCUUUACUGGGUGUGUUGGGGAACCAGGACUUUUACUUUGAAAAAAUUAGAGUGUUCAAAGCAGGCAUUUGCUCGAAUACAUUAGCAUGGAAUAAUAGAAUAGGACGUGCGGUUCUAUUUUGUUGGUUUCUAGGACCGCCGUAAUGAUUAAUAGGGAUAGUCGGGGGCAUCCGUAUUCAAUUGUCAGAGGUGAAAUUCUUGGAUUUAUUGAAGACGAACUACUGCGAAAGCAUUUGCCAAGGAUGUUUUCA